UGCUGCUGUGCCACACGGAUUCCUCUGAC
rnacentral:piRNA from 1 species